CGGGGCUUAAAGUCUUGUAAUUGGAAUGAUGGGAAUUUAAACCUCUUCCAGAGUAUCAAUUGGAGGGCAAGUCUGGUGCCAGCAGCCGCGGUAAUUCCAGCUCCAAUAGCGUAUAUUAAAAUUGUUGCAGUUAAAAAGCUCGUAGUUGAAUUUCUGCUGCAUCGCUACGUCCCCUCGGGGUCUCUGCAUGUGGCUUAUUUCAGACGAAGUUUCUUUGUCUGGAUGUUUACUUUGAGAAAAUUAGAGUGCUCAAAGCAGGCCUUUGCCUUGAAUAGUUUAGCAUGGAAUAAUAAAGUAGGACUUUGGUUCUAUUUUGUUGGUUUUAGGUACCAAAGUAAUGGUUAAUAGGAACAGUUGGGGGCAUUCGUAUUUAACUGUCAGAGGUGAAAUUCUUAGAUUUGUUAAAGACGAACUACUGCGAAAGCAUUUGCCAAGGAUGUUUUCAUUAAUCAAGAAC
rnacentral:rRNA from 1 species